GUUUCCGUAGGUGAACCUGCGGAAGGAUCAUUACCGAGUUGAUUCGAGCUCCGGCUCGACUCUCCCACCCUUUGUGUCACCUACCUCUGUUGCUUUGGCGGGCCCGCGGUUCGGCCUCGUGCCGUCCAGCACCCGCCAGAGGACCACAAAACUCCAGUCAGUGAACGUCUCAGUCUGAAAAACAAGUUAAUAAACUAAAACUUUCAACAACGGAUCUCUUGGUUCUGGCAUCGAUGAAGAACGCAGCGAAAUGCGAUAAGUAAUGUGAAUUGCAGAAUUCAGUGAAUCAUCGAAUCUUUGAACGCACAUUGCGCCCCUUGGUAUUCCGGGGGGCAUGCCUGUUCGAGCGUCAUUUCAACCCUCAAGCUCUGCUUGGUAUUGGGCUCCGUCCUCAGGGACGCGCCUCAAAGACCUCGGCGGUGGCGUCUUGCCUCAAGCGUAGUAGAAAACACCUCGCUUUGGAGCGCACGGCGUCGCCCGCCGGACGAACCUUUGAAUUUUUCUCAAGGUUGACCUCGGAUCAGGUAGGGAUACCCGCUGAACUUAA
rnacentral:rRNA from 1 species